UUAGACUCGGGGCUGACCACCCCAACUCUGCACCUUAGGUCCUCCUUAUCUGUGCAAUGGGAGCGGUCGUUCCUGCCUCACUGCGUUGUGGCGUUAUUUAAAGGGGCUUUCGAAGGGAUCGAAAGUAAAAAGCCAGCAUAGGAACUUCAAUAUGCUUUUAAAAUACUUUGGAUACUUAUCGAGCGCCUACUAGAUGCGCCGCCCUAGCGCAGAAGGCUGGAAUGGGCUGAAAGGGGAAAACGAAACGUCACCCACAGUUUAGGUCUUCCUGGGCAUCUGCGCGGGACACCCUGAAGCUAAGUUUCAGUUCGGGUCCAGAGGUCUGAGAACCAGGAGAGCUGAUUGCGUUGUUCCCAACCAAAGACUGGUAGCCUCAAGACUCAGGAAGUGCUGAUGCCUCGAUUCGAAUACAAAGGCAGAAGAGAAGCUGAUCCCUCAGUGUGAAGGCAAUCAGGCAAGUGUAGUUUCCCUCUUAUUCAGCAUUUUUGUUUUAUUCAGGUCUUCAACUGAUUGGA